CAACCGAGAAACCCUGCUUUCUCUCACCCUAACUCCCGACAGGCCUCACUCCUGGCGCCACCACUCCCCACCGUGCCGCUAACUCUCGACAAACCCCGCAUCCCAACGCGGUCUCUCUCAAGAGAGCAAUCCCCAUGCGGCUCCGCAGCCAUCACCCACUUCUCGACUUGUUACUCCGCCGAGGAGGUUCUCGCUCCCUCAUUUUUUUCUGGAUCGGCUUCUCCCCUCCCAUUGAGCAGGAUUUCUGAUCUUUCAUCAUAUCUGGAUCCCAAUAUUCACUCUUGGAGUUGUUCCAGUCCAUUUGAACCAUAUCUUGCCUAACACAAUAAUGAAGUUUUCCAGGUUUCUCCAACAAAAUAUAGAGGUUCAUUGGGAACAACAUCUCAAAUUGGCACAUGUUUAGGAAUAAUUGCAUCACUCUGUUUAGGAAUUUUUUCUGAAGGUGAUCCACAUUGAUCUUUGUAUUACAUGUUAUAAGAUGAAGACAUGAUCCUGUAA